rnacentral:rRNA from 1 species
CAACAGCUUAAAACUCAAAGGACUUGGCGGUGCUUUACAUCCCUCUAGAGGAGCCUGUUCUAUAAUCGAUAAACCCCGAUAAACCUCACCAUCUCUUGCUAAUUCAGCCUAUAUACCGCCAUCUUCAGCAAACCCUAAAAAGGAAGAAAAGUAAGCACAAGUGUCUUAACACAAAAAAGUUAGGUCAAGGUGUAGCCUAUGAGAUGGGAAGCAAUGGGCUACAUUUUCUACAAUUAGAACAUCCACGAAAAUCCUUAUGAAACUAAGCAUUCAAGGAGGAUUUAGCAGUAAAUUUGAGAAUAGAGAGCUCAAUUGAAUCGGGCCAUGAAGCACGCACACACCGCCCGUCACCCUCCUCAAGUGACUAGUCCCUAAAGAAACCUAUUCAAACCACUACAUCCACAAGAGGAGACAAGUCGUAACAAGGUAAGCAUACUGGAAAGUGUGCUUGGAUGA